UAACCACUACUUUGCCGUGCCUCAUGACCGCAUCUCCGCCCACCACGCAGGGAAGAUUUACCGCUACGAGCUGCAGCACUACGCCCUGCUCUCCUUCGGCCAACUGAUCUGCCCUUCCUGCGACAACAAGUGGGUGAGUCACGUAGACGAUCUGUACUACUUGUUCCGCGGCGGCCCUCUCUUGUCGCCACGAACAGCACCCCCACAGCGCCCCAAGGACUUACGACUCUGUGGACAAACUUUGCUGCCACAGGGUGAGAUGGAGGACGGAGGUCCUGAUUUCAGAAAUCUUUAUGGAGGACUCUGAGAGUUUUAGAGUGGGCAAGAUGAUAAAGUAUUGCUUAUCAGUGCACUAACUUUGCUGCCGCGGGGUGAGAUGGAAGGUGGGACCCUUUUGUGGAGGAGACUGAUAGUUUUAGAGGAUAAGAUGAUAAAAGUAAGGCUUAUCAUUGUACCAUUGCUGCAUUAGAGGCUCUUCAGGAAGUGCUGAUGUCAGGUAAGAAUUAUCAAUGCUUCCAUCAAUUCACUGUGACACGGUGACACCAACAACAACGAUAGUUUGCUUGUGUACUACUUAUCACUGCAAAAAAUUACCUCUUUACUGCAUAGAUUAGACAAGUGAGUUGGUGAUGGUGGGCACUGGUGAGAAAACACAGAAUUAAGCAGGGGAUCUUUAUUUCUACAAUAUUUUGAUGGUGUUGAAAAGUUAGAGAAAAAGAUCUGCUUAAUCCUGCUAUUCCUCACCACCACACUCCAAUAAUUACUUUUUUGUAUUACUCAUCAUUGCAGCAAUAGUUUAUUUUUGUAUCACUCAUCAUUGCAAUGAUAAUAAAUCUUUGUAUUACUCACCAGUCCAACAGUGGUCUGUCUUUUAUUACUCAUCAUUAUAAUUAUAAUUUUUCGUUAUUUCUCACCAGGAACCCAACCCCUGAUAGCUCUCUGGGCUUCGUGGGAAGCCAGCACACCAGAGAACCUGCAGUACCUCUCCCUCACGCCCUCGCCCUCCAUGAAGCCAGACGACCGCAAGGAGACACGCAAGUUCCACAACUCUCUUCCCAUCCAGGAAAAUCUGAUGCUUCACCCGCACCUGGUAAAGGUGCCUCAGGGUGCCACGCGCAGUUCACGUCAUGAAUUGUGAUUUACCAACUCCUGACUAAAUGCAAACAGUAACAAGCACCGCCUACCUAACAACAUAACUUAGAUAUAACCACUUAUAUAUAUA